UAAGAGGUCCCGCCUGCCCUGUGACGAUAAGUUUAACGGCCGCGGUAUUUUGACCGUGCGAAGGUAGCGCAAUCACUUGUCUCUUAAAUGGGGACCUGUAUGAAUGGCACCACGAGGGCUUAGCUGUCUCCACUUUCCAGUCAAUGAAAUUGAUCUCCCCGUGCAGAAGCGGGGAUCAAAACAUAAGACGAGAAGACCCUAUGGAGCUUUAGACACUAAAGCAGAUUAUGUUAAACACCUCCUAAAUAAAGGAAAAAACCAAAUAAAGCCUGCCCUACUGUCUUUGGUUGGGGCGACCGCGGGGAAAUACAAAACCCCCACGUGGAAUGGGACCACCUGUCCUAAAACCAAGAGCACCCGCUCUAGUAAACAGAACUUCUGACCAAUAAGAUCCGGCCUUGCCGAUCAACGGACCGAGUUACCCUAGGGAUAACAGCGCAAUCCCCUUUUAGAGCCCAUAUCGACAAGGGGGUUUACGACCUCGAUGUUGGAUCAGGACAUCCUAAUGGUGUAGCCGCUAUUAGGGUUCGUU
rnacentral:rRNA from 1 species